ACCCCAGAUAGCCAUCCCAUGUGUGCAUAGGAUCUGAGCGCUAUUCGGUACUUUUGUGUGCUCAGAUCUAAGCUAUCUGGAGAUUGGUAGAAUGUAUAUGUUUUGUGCAACAGUUGUAACUUUAUACAUUUUUAUGUCUUUUACUGCCAUGUGGUUAAUGGAGUUUUGCCUCUGUCCUGGGAGAUAAUUGGAUUACUUCCCAAUUAUCUCCAGGACAGAGGGAGGGAAGUUAG